rnacentral:rRNA from 1 species
GACGAACGCUGGCGGCGUGCUUAACACAUGCAAGUCGAACGGUGACGAUCAAGCUUGCUUGGUCUGAUCAGUGGCGAACGGGUGAGUAACACGUGAGUAACCUGCCCCAGACUCUGGGAUAACCCCGGGAAACCGGAGCUAAUACCGGAUAUGACAUGCCCCUGCAUGGGGAGUGUGUGGAAAGUUUUUCGGUCUGGGAUGGACUCGCGGCCUAUCAGCUUGUUGGUGAGGUAAUGGCUCACCAAGGCGACGACGGGUAGCCGGCCUGAGAGGGCGACCGGCCACACGGGGACUGAGACACGGCCCAGACUCCUACGGGAGGCAGCAGUGGGGAAUAUUGCACAAUGGGCGAAAGCCUGAUGCAGCGACGCCGCGUGAGGGAUGACGGCCUUCGGGUUGUAAACCUCUUUUAGCAGGGAAGAAGCGAAAGUGACGGUACCUGCAGAAAAAGCACCGGCUAACUACGUGCCAGCCGCCGCCGUAACAC